UUGGAGGGCAAGUCUGGUGCCAGCAGCCGCGGUAAUUCCAGCUCCAAUAGCGUAUAUUAAAGUUGUUGCAGUUAAAAAGCUCGUAGUUGAAUUUCGGGAUCAAUUUAUCGGUCGUGCCUCUGGUAUGCACUGGUAUUAUUGAUUUCUACCUUCUGACGAACCAUGAUGUCAUUAAUUUGGUGUCAUGGGGGAUCAGGACUGUUACUUUGAAAAAAUUAGAGUGUUUAAAGCAAGCACACGCUUGAAUACAUUAGCAUGGAAUAAUGAAAUAGGACGUUUGACCCUAUUUUGUUGGUUUCUAGGAUCGACGUAAUGAUUAAUAGGGAUAGUUGGGGGCAUUAGUAUUCAAUUGUCAGAGGUGAAAUUCUUGGAUUUAUUGAAGACUAACUACUGCGAAAGCAUUUGCCAAGGAUGUUUUCAUUAAUCAAGAACGAAAGUUAGGGGAUCGAAGACGAUCAGAUACCGUCGUAGUCUUAACCAUAAACUAUGCCGACUAGGGAUCGGAUGAUGUUAAUUUUUUAAUGACUCAUUCGGCGCCUUACGGGAAAC
rnacentral:rRNA from 1 species